ensembl:lncRNA
AUGCAGCCCCCGCCGUCCGGGAACGCACAGGGGCACCAGCCGCGCUGCAGCUGCGCCGGGAUUAACGCUGGCCGCGGGACCUCCCCGGUUCCGAAGGCGCCCGCGACGCGGCAGAACCUCCCCGACCAACCCAGCGCGCACGCUUUCUGCAUUCAACUCGGAACAGCCAUUGCGCUCACGCCCCGGCUCGGCGAGCUCCAAUUCGGGUUUACCAGCGUGCGUCUCGGUGCCGGCGGCCUGGCCCGGGCUUUUCCGUUCCCUUUGUCUCGUGAUCCGCGGGGAGUUGCUGCCCCCCGGGAAGCGGGUGUCGGGGGCCGAGCUUCCCAGACAACCCCGGAGGAGCUCCCAGCCCCGGCUCGCACGCUCCCCGGCUCCCCCGCGCCGGCUCCAUAUUGCUGGGCAGGUCCCUGUAAGGUCUCGGCCGGUGUCACAAAAAGCUGGGUUUCCGGGCGGCUCCGAGACCCCACCGGAGGCGCCUCCCUGCAACCUGCCCGAGCGCGGCCGGCACCAGAUGCCCGGCCCGGGCCCCGAGGCCAACCGCCCCGAGGCGCACUUCCCCCCACCCCGGAAGAGGAGGGCGGCAAACUCGGGAGGGCGGGGGCUGGGGGCGCGCGGGGGGACCCUGGCCGCCACGCCCCGGGGACGCCCGGGCCGCGACCCCAGCCCCGGCUGCAGGGCCCCCGGGGCGGGGCGCUCUCCUCCGGCGGAGGCCCCGGGAAACUGCAGCCGGGAGACCGCAGGGACCCUCGGCAGCGCGCGGGGACGGAGGCUGGGGGGAAGCCGAGCUCACCGGCAACUCCGGGGUCUAACGCGCCCCGCGGCGGCGCGCACACACCCGGGCUGGGAGGAGGACGCGGGAAAGCGGGCCGGGAGGCGGCCAGGGGCGCGCAACGACGCCGGCCGCCGAUGCAGCCCCGUGGACUGGAGAUGCCGGCGGCGUGGAAGGCCCGCGGCCGGCCGCUUCCUCCGGGCUGGGCUGCAGAAGCGGCCGCUGGUGACAGGAAGAGAGCGGCGGCAGCCGCGCACGCAGGCACGCACCGCCUCCCCCUCCCGGGCGCACACACCCGGACCGCCGCCGCCGCCGCCGCCUACCUCCCCGGGCGGCCGCUUCCUUCCUCGGCGGGGCCCGCGCGGCAACAGCAGUCUCCGGUGCGACGGCUCCGCGGCGCUUCCGACCCGCCGGCCGCUCUCGCUCUGCGCGCUCAGCCUCCGACCCGCUCGCCUGCCGCCGCCGCCGCCGCCGCCGCUUCCUCCAACUCCGCUCCAGCUGCUCGCGACUCCUCUCCGUGCGCCCGCAGCUCCAGCGCCCGGCGCCGGCUCCGCCUCCGGCCCGGCCCCGCGCUCCCCGCCCCCGGGGCCGCACCAACCAGCGCGCGCGGACCCGCCCCGCUCCGGCUGCGCCACGCCCUCCGCCGCUGCCACUCAGGGCGCCGGGCUCGGAGCCGGCGGCCGGGGGGUGGGGAGCUGGGCUCCGGCCCGGUCGACCCCCGCCUGCCGCCGCCCUCGCCUUCCGCCCCCAGCCGCGGGGAUGCCCUGGGCCGCGGGACUGCUCGUAGCCUCCGCUGCGGAGCGCUCUGGCUCUGCGCGCCCCGGACUAGGCCGCCUGGCCGUGCUGCUGGGCGUCUCCCGGACCCGAGGCGGAGGGGCCAGGGGAGGCCGAGAACAAGUUCAGACCUCCCUGGAGGUUGGCUGCGGCUCCAACCCGCGUGUCUUGCAACCAACCGCCGCCUUUUGCGAGCCCCCGCGCCCCAGCAGAGCGGCUGGAGUGGGGGAAGGACUCGGAUUCCAGGGCUCGCCAAAGCGGACAGGCCCUGCAAUUCCUGGCUCCCCCGGCCUCCCGAGCGGCCGGAAAACCCGCGCCACCGGGCGCGGCGCUCCGGGGGCGAGGAAGGAGUGAAAGGGUGA